rnacentral:rRNA from 1 species
AGUGAACGCUGGCGGCAGGCCUAACACAUGCAAGUCGAACGGCAGCACAGUAAGAGCUUGCUCUUACGGGUGGCGGGUGGCGGACGGGUGAGGUAUACAUCGUAAUCUACUUUUUCGUGGGGGAUAACGUAGGGGAACUUACGCUAAUACAGCAUACGACCUACGGGGGAAAGCAGGGGAUAGUCGGACCUUGCGCGAUUGAAUGAGCCGAUGAGGGACUAGCUAGUUGGGGGGGUAAAGGCCUACCAAGGGGACGAUCGGUAGCUGGACGGAGUGGACGGUCGGCCACAUGGGAGCUGGGCCACCGUCCAGGCGCCUACGGGAGGCACCAGUGGGGUACAGUGGGCAAUGGUCGCAAGUCUUAUCCAGCCAUACCGCGUGGGAGAAGAAGGCCUUGCGGUCGUAAAGCCCUUUUGUUGGGUGAGAAAAGCAGCAGGCUAAGACGAAGCUGUUGUGACGGUACUCAAAGAAUAAGCACCGGCUAACUUCGUG